rnacentral:lncRNA from 1 species
GACUGAGAGACAGAGACACAGAGGGAGAGAGGAAUCCUGAACACAUGGGAGUGAGAAAAGGCUACCCACUUGGGAUACAUUUGCUCUUCGCAUGCUAUUUCCCAUCUCGCUUGCCUCCCAUGCGCACCAGUUUCUCGCCCCCCUGCUAAUUCUUUCACUGCCAGCAUGGCAGAGAAAAACCGCACAGCGAUUGGUGCAUGUUGUGCUGUGGUCAGCAACGCCUGUGACUUCCUUUAAUCGUCUCAGCAGCUCUGUGCGCUGCGCGUUAUUAUC